AUGAAAAUGUAAACAACAAAGAUCGGGCCCCGGUUCCGGACCCAGCGUACCCGCCCUACCAUGAGACGAUCACCUCCACUCGUCUCCCUCAUUUUGGCCACCAAAUGGCCUAUAUUAGCCCGUGUCGGCCAUAAUGCCCACUCUCCCCAGCAAUAUUAUUUUAGCCGGACAUGAUUUCUUUCAAUAGCUGUUUAGGAUCUCAUGCAAGCGGAUAAUUCAUUAACUUCGCAGGCGACGAAACACUACAAGGAUAUUGCGAGUCGCCGCAAAAGAAACGCGCAAUGAGGCACUUUAGAGGCAAUCGUUGCGCCGAUUUAGGAACAAUGGCCCACACAAUUACUUAAAACUGGGCGCAGAUGCAUCACCUUUGGAGUUUUCCCCCACCGU